GCUAAUUUAAAUGUUUUUACUGCUGAUUUAAAUGUUUUUACUGCUGAUUUAAAUGUUUUUACUACUGAUUUAAAUGUUUUUACUACUGAUUUAAAUGUUUUUACUACUGAUUUAAAUGUUUUUACUGCUAAUUUAAAUGUUUUUACUGCUGAUUUAAAUGUUUUUACUACUGAUUUAAAUGUUUUUACUACUGAUUUAAAUGUUUUUACUACUGAUUUAAAUGUUUUUACUGCUGAUUUAAAUGUUUUUACUACUGAUUUAAAUGUUUUUACUACUGAUUUAAAUGUUUUUACUGCUAAUUUAAAUGUUUUUACUGCUAAUUUAAAUGUUUUUACUGCUGAUUUAAAUGUUUUUACUACUGAUUUAAAUGUUUUUACUACUGAUUUAAAUAUUUUUACUGCUGAUUUUAAAUGUUUUUACUGCUGAUUUUAAAUGUUUUUACUGCUGAUUUUAAAUGUUUUUACUGCUGAUUUUAAAUGUUUUUACUGCUGAUUUUAAAUGUUUUUACUGCCGAUUUUAAAUGUUUUUAUUGCUGAUUUUAAAUGUUUUUAUUGCUGAUUUUAAAUGUCAGGAUCAGGAUGAGAGCUCGGUAUCUCUCACAGAUCAGGGAGGAGUCAGACAGAGACCAGAGGAUUGGUUCCACUUCUUUAGCCCCGCCCACGAAUGCUGCAGCUCAACCAAUUGAAGAAGGUCCUGAUGUUUGGGAGCAGCAGAAGAAACAGGAGGAGAACCGCAGUCUGCUGGAGGAGCUGAGUCACAUAGAGGCGGAGCUUAGGGAGUCGUUACAAUUGGAUGUUGAACGACAGCGAGAGUCGGAAUUCCUUCAACUUCAAGAAAAUAAAGUUUUACAACAAAACCUGAACGACCUCAGUCUGAGCCAGAGGAUAGCUAGGCCGUGGGUGAGCAGCUACUUCAGGAAGAUUCCAAUGCACAUCUACUGUCUGCCCAUUCAGGCUGUCAAUCACAGAAGCAGGAGGCGGGACUUAAAGAAGAACCAAUGAUCUUUGGAUUUCAUUUGAUAACAUGUAUAUUUAAAAACAUAUGGAAAUAAAUCAAUACAUUUCCUUCUUAAGUUGAGACUG
rnacentral:lncRNA from 1 species